CCGGCCGCGCCCCCAGGCGCAACCCCCUUCACGACGCGCGCCCCGACGGGCCGCGCGCUCGCCCACCGGCCGGCGCCAAGGUCUCCUCCUGCCUUCGGCGGAAGGAUGCCGGACCGGGCCUCCCAGGCUCCUCCCGGGCCUACCUGCGAGGCGAGUGAGAGCUUGGCCGGAAGGCCAACGAGCGCACGGAGCCACGGACGGAAGGCGGGGAGAGGCUGAAGGAAGCGAGGGGCCCGCUCGACCGACCAGCGGAAGAAAGCGGCCAGAGCCCGGGGUCUCCCGGAUAACUCAGUCCAGGACCUGGCACCGCCGCCGCCGCUCUGGAGACAUCAACCUAGAAGACGCUGCAAAAGAUCAUCGAACACACGAACGCCCAGACAUCAAAGGAAGAGCGCCCAAGCAAUCGUUCAAGGAACUGCAGCCGAGUGCCGAAACAUUGCUCAGCUCCUGCUGCAAGUCCCGCUGCCUUCCUAGGCAUAAAUAAACAAAUUCAGAUCAUAAGCUAAAGCAUAGAGUAGGCUGGGUUUCUGCCAUUUUCUCUUGGUGACCGAGUGUUGAAGUAAUUUAGAGAACUAAAUUUCGGAGACAGCAAGCACGGUUGUAAUCCCAGGAAUUUAGGAAGAGGAGGCAUUUGGAGGAUAUGGAGUUCAAAGUCAUACUCAGUUAAGAGCAAGGCCAACCUGGACUAUAUGAGACCUUGUCUUAAGUGAAAAAGGAAUUAGUCUUUUGUGAACACGUUGAUUGAAGAUAAAUCAUACUAGAAUAAAGCUCUCCUUAAUAGUUC
rnacentral:lncRNA from 1 species